AGAGUUUGAUCCUGGCUCAGGACGAACGCUGACGGUGUGCUUUAGACAUGCAAGUCGAACGAGAAAGCCCUUCGGGGUGAGUACAGUGGCGAGCGGGUGAGUAACACGUGGGUAACCUGCCCCUCGCAGGGGGACAACCGGGGGAAACUCCGGCUAAUACCCCGUACGCUUGCCGUGCCGCAUGGCAUCGGCAAGGAAAGGUAGCUUCGGCCAUCCGGCGAGGGAUGGGCCCGCGGUCCAUUAGCUAGUUGGUGGGGUAACGGCCCACCAAGGCGACGAUGGAUAGCUGGUCUGAGAGGAUGAUCAGCCUCACUGGGACUGAGACACGGNCNANACUCCUACGGGAGGCAGCAGUCGGGAAUCUUGCGCAAUGGGCGAAAGCCUGACGCAGCAACACCGUGUGGGCGACGAAGGCCUUCGGGUCGUAAAGCCCUGUUGUUGGGGACGAAGGACGAAGGGUUAAUAGCCCCUAGUCUGACGGUACCCUUCGAGGAAGCCCCGGCUAACUACGUGCCAGCAGCCGCGGUAAUACGUAGGGGGCGAGCGUUGUCCGGAAUUAUUGGGCGUAAAGAGCGUGUAGGCGGUUUGGUAAGUCUGCCGUGAAAACCCGGGGCUCAACCCCGGGCGUGCGGUGGAUACUGCCAGGCUAGAGGGUGGUAGAGGCGAGUGGAAUUCCCGGUGUAGCGGUGAAAUGCGCGGAUAUCGGGAGGAACACCAGUAGCGAAGGCGGCUCGCUGGGCCAUUCCUGACGCUGAGACGCGAAAGCUAGGGGAGCGAACAGGAUUAGAUACCCCAGUAGUCC
rnacentral:rRNA from 1 species